AUCGCAAUUUCAGCCCCUUAAUAUACACAAACAAGUGGCCCAACUCCUAACAAAUCCCCUUCUCUGCCAGGCCACUCCGAAACCCGCCUAACAAAAUCCUCCACUAACUCACAAGCCAGCCCAAACUCAGCCCAUUUCUCCACCUUUCCCGUUUUACCCAUACAACAAACUAGUAACAACAACAUACGCACAAAGCAACAAAACAGCAGCAGCUACACAACAGCAACACGACAAAAACCAACGAAACAACGACAAUAAUAUCCACGACGCCGAUCAGCGUUCGGACCACCGGAUAUUAGGAAAUCUGGUGGUUUUUCCACCUCUCCUCCUCUCCCCCUACUCUAUUUCCGUCUCCAUCAACAUCAAUUGUCUUUCCAUCAAUUUUUGUUCAAGAAAACCAAAGCCCAAUGCUCUACAAUUUCAAGAAAAAUGGGGAAAAUCUCAAGACCCAUUGGAUUCAAGGUGUUACACCUUCGAUUCGACGGCUAUCAAAGUUUAAAUUGGUGGAUCCGAGCCUCUCUACCUCGAAUCCAUCACUUUUCUUCAAAUUGACCGAAAGAGGUGACCCCUUUCUCUCCUUUAUUUCUUUUUAUCCAUUAGUCCUGAUGACUUCUCGAAGAAUUUGCCUUCUCAAUGAAUUCAAAAUCCAAAUUUAUUUUUUGGGAACUGUUGGAAGCUUCAAGGAGCCAUUGCAAUCCAAUACUGCCUAUAAAAGGGGUUUUUUCCACCCUCUUGUAGGAGAGGGAAAAAAAAGAAAAAAAUGAGGAAGAAAAAAGGGUAAUAGAGAAAUUAGAAUUUUUUUUGUGUGUUUUUGUCAUACUCGCCGAUUCACCAAGUUUCUAUUUCCUUUUCUUUAUUUUUCUGAUUAUUGUUACUAGUUCCUGCAUCGGAAAAGGUGAAUCCUCCUCCUUCAAAAUUCUUAUUUAUGAAGCUUUGGUCAUCUAAGCAAUUUAUGUUUGAUGAAUUUUUAAACGUAUCUAUACCAUAAAUUUUGUGUUUGCGACAAAAUUGGCAUAGCUUCUUAAUUGUUUAGCAUGAAAUUUGACUCCUUUAAAUGCCUGACUUGGUAAGAAACAUGUGCUUGUUAUUGCCUAUUUUCUAUCUUGACGCAAUAGUUUUAAUACUAGGAAUUUGCAUGUUUUCAUUUGUCUUUUGGUUGCAAACUUUGAUGACCAUCACUUUUAGUCAAGGUCUGUAUAUAUAUAUUUGAGCUGACGUGGUUAUCACCUUAAUAGCGUGGGUUUAGACGUAUCCAUGGAAAAAUGGUUGAUCGUAUCCAUGGAAAAAUGGUUUAUCUUUUUUCUUUCUUCGAGCAUAGUGUAUAAAUUAGUUGAAGUUCUCUACUCCAUUUUUGUACAAAAAUGGGUAUGUUUUCUCUUCUCUAUGUGGCUACUAUUGCCUAAAAUAUAAUAAAGAGAUUUAUUACUUUAUUGUUUAAGCUUUCAGUUAUUACAAUACUCAUUUAAUCAUUUUGAUAGUUAAGUAAAUAAUAUGCCAAGAGACUGGUUGAGGUCCAUGUUGCUAUCUCUUUGUGCAAAGGACAAUAUGUGCAUUUGUUCCCAAUUUAUUUAACGUACAUAGAGCCCUUGGUUACCUUUAAAAAAGUUGAAAAAACAUAAAAUGACGAAAAAUAUCCUUUUUAAGGGAUAAAUCCUUGUUCAAACUGCUUUGUGUUCAUUUGAUCAUAUAUUGACUUUUGGUCUAUGAACUUCUUGGGUAAUCCCUUUCAUAUUUGGGUGUGUGACUUGAUCUCUAGUUGGUAACUACAGAGCAUUUUCGUUUAUGUGUCAAAACUAUGUUUUGUGUGAACUUAUACUACUAUUUAUCUCUUCUUUUCUAUGCAUGAAAUCCCUCCUUGAGUCCAUCGGACUCCCAUAUCUUGCAUUCGAUUGAGUUAAACUCAACGUCCAUCGAGUCAAGACCCAUGUCAAGUCCGAAAAGGGACUAAUAUGCAAGAAAAAUAGGCUGGUAUACAAUCAUAUACUCUGAUAUAUGGUGAAUAUCCGUCUUAAGCAGCAGGUGCAUGCUAUCCCGCGGUUUAUGAUGAAAAAGUGGAGCAAAAUACGUAGGCAUCCACACUGAUAUACACUGUAUACACAGGGGUAUACAGAAAAAUACAGGAAAGAAGCUGCUGAUAUACCACAGAUAUACAGGGGAAAAAAAUAGGCUAAAGUCCAUGGAAUUGGUCCAAAAUUGGACAGAUUUUUAAUGUGUCAAAAGGGGCCCAAUUUUCACUCUUCUCUAUUUAAUUAUCCAUUCUAACUUAUUUAUUUGUAAUAGUUUAGGAUACGUGCAUUGCACGUGACACAAAUUUAUAAAAUAAACUUUAUUGAAAAAUCAACCAUCUAAUAAUUUGAUCUGAUUGGAGUUAUUUAAUUAUAUGGUAUUAUUGACUUAUUUUUUGUUUGAUACCAUCACACAUUGUUAUCAAAUUAUGUGUGGGACUUCUAACCAAUAAGGAUACUUUAUGCCAUUGAGUCAAUUUGUUAUGGUCAUUUUACUUGGGGCUUUGGGCUGUCGGUGACAAAAGAGUUUUAAAAUGAUGUGUAAGUGACUAAUGUCUUAAUAAUUAAGUGGAGGUGACAAUUACUUUAUUAUGGAUUAAGAAAGUUGGGUAUGUUUGAGAAUAACCCAGAAGUUUUUAAAUUUACACUUUGAUUCAAAUGUUUACCUAGUAUAACGAGAAACGGAGGGAAAAAGGCGUCUUUCUCUCUGUUCUCAUUCAUUGUUGUUUUCUCUCUCUUAGCGAUUUUUGUUGUUUAUUGUUGUUGUUGCUUUAUUCAUCAUCUUUUGCUUCAUUAUCAUCUUCUACUUUAUUAUGAUCUCUAUUUUUUUCUUGUUGAUCAUUGUUGUUGUUGCUUUACUGCUAUUGUUGCCAUUUGACCAAUUUCUUAGGUCAAAUUUUGUUUCCUACAUCACUUUCCACUUUGGUAUUACUUCAUAGGAGACUUUAGUAAGUCAAAGUAUGAUUUUUAGUUGAAUUUGUCAUUUGGGUAAAUGCUAUUGUGUUGUUUCUUCAACGAUAGAUAGCACGCAAACAUGAAUGCAACAUAAUAGCCAUCUGUUUAAAUAGAUCUGUUUCAACAGAAGACUCAUAUGUUGGAUUCAUAUUUAUGGUUCCAUAGUUUCGUUACAUAAAUCAAACAGAUGAGUCGUCUGUUACAAUAGAUGACCCAUUUGUUGCAAUAAAUUAGUUAUCUGGUGCAACAUGAUAAAUAUUUGUUGCAACAAAUUAAUAACCUCUUGCAAUAGAACCUGAACUUGAUUCCAACAGACGUGUUGUCUGUUGCAACAGGGUAAAUAUCUGUUGCAACAAAUUAUUAACCCGUUGCAACAGAACCUGAACUCAAUUCCAACAGACAAUAAAUAUGUGUUGCAAUAUAUUAGUAACCUGUUGCGAUAGAACCUGACCUCGAUUCCAAUAAAUCGUCGUCUGUUGCAACAGGUAAAUCAUCUGUCGCAAUAGGUUGAUUAUCUGAUGCAACAUGUCACUUAUUUGUUGGAAUCUGCUUCAAAGGUGCCUCAAUACUGUAACAUCUGUCCAACAAGCACUUUAUCUGUUGCAACAGAUAUAUAGUCUGUUGCAACACAUGAUUCACUUGUUACAACAGAUGACUCGUCUGUUGAAAUCAACUUUAGGAGCGUAACAUGAAUCCCAAUAGGUACUAAUCUGUUGCUAUUGAUUACACAUCUGUUGGGAUUCAUUUAUGGCACUAUGAAAUCACUAUUAACUUUUUUUAAAAAAUGACUUUAUUUAG
rnacentral:lncRNA from 1 species